UACGGGGGGGGCAAGCGUUGUUCGGAAUUACUGGGCGUAAAGCGCGCGCAGGCGGCCCUUUAAGUCUACCCGUGAAAUGCCGGAGCUCAACUCCGUGCACGCCGGGGGAUACUGGGGGGCUGGAGACAUGUAGAGGCAAGCGGAAUUCCGGGUGUAGCGGUGGAAUGCGUAGAGAUCCGGAAGAACACCUGAGGCGAAGGCGGCUUGCUGGGCAUGAUCUGACGCUGAGGCGCGAAAGCGUGGGGAGCAAACAGG
rnacentral:rRNA from 1 species